AUAAUGGGUCAGCGACUUAUAUUCUGUAGCAAGGUUAACCGAAUAGGGGAGCCGAAGGGAAACCGAGUCUUAACUGGGCGUUAAGUUGCAGGGUAUAGACCCGAAACCCGGUGAUCUAGCCAUGGGCAGGUUGAAGGUUGGGUAACACUAACUGGAGGACCGAACCGACUAAUGUUGAAAAAUUAGCGGAUGACUUGUGGCUGGGGGUGAAAGGCCAAUCAAACCGGGAGAUAGCUGGUUCUCCCCGAAAGCUAUUUAGGUAGCGCCUCGUGAAUUCAUCUCCGGGGGUAGAGCACUGUUUCGGCAAGGGGGUCAUCCCGACUUACCAACCCGAUGCAAACUGCGAAUACCGGAGAAUGUUAUCACGGGAGACACACGGCGGGUGCUAACGUCCGUCGUGAAGAGGGAAACAACCCAGACCGCCAGCUAAGGUCCCAAAGUCAUGGUUAAGUGGGAAACGAUGUGGGAAGGCCCAGACAGCCAGGAUGUUGGCUUAGAAGCAGCCAUCAUUUAAAGAAAGCGUAAUAGCUCACUGGUCGAGUCGGCCUGCGCGGAAGAUGUAACGGGGCUAAACCAUGCACCGAAGCUGCGGCAGCGACACUAUGUGUUGUUGGGUAGGGGAGCGUUCUGUAAGCCUGUGAAGGUGUGCUGUGAGGCAUGCUGGAGGUAUCAGAAGUGCGAAUGCUGACAUAAGUAACGAUAAAGCGGGUGAAAAGCCCGCUCGCCGGAAGACCAAGGGUUCCUGUCCAACGUUAAUCGGGGCAGGGUGAGUCGACCCCUAAGGCGAGGCCGAAAGGCGUAGUCGAUGGGAAACAGGUUAAUAUUCCUGUACUUGGUGUUACUGCGAAGGGGGGACGGAGAAGGCUAUGUUGGCCGGGCGACGGUUGUCCCGGUUUAAGCGUGUAGGCUGGUUUUCCAGGCAAAUCCGGAAAAUCAAGGCUGAGGCGUGAUGACGAGGCACUACGGUGCUGAAGCAACAAAUGCCCUGCUUCCAGGAAAAGCCUCUAAGCAUCAGGUAACAUCAAAUCGUACCCCAAACCGACACAGGUGGUCAGGUAGAGAAUACCAAGGCGCUUGAGAGAACUCGGGUGAAGGAACUAGGCAAAAUGGUGCCGUAACUUCGGGAGAAGGCACGCUGAUAUGUAGGUGAAGCGACUUGCUCGUGGAGCUGAAAUCAGUCGAAGAUACCAGCUGGCUGCAACUGUUUAUUAAAAACACAGCACUGUGCAAACA
rnacentral:rRNA from 1 species